GUAGGGUGCGAGCGUUGUCCGGAAUUACUGGGCGUAAAGAGCUCGUAGGUGGUUUGUUGCGUUGUCCGUGAAAUCCCACGGCUUAACUGUGGGCGUGCGGGCGAUACGGGCAGACUAGAGUGCUGCAGGGGAGACUGGAAUUCCUGGUGUAGCGGUGGAAUGCGCAGAUAUCAGGAGGAACACCGGUGGCGAAGGCGGGUCUCUGGGCAGCUACUGACGCUGAGGAGCGAAAGCGUGGGGAGCGAACAGGAUUAGAUACCCUGGUAGUCCACGCCGUAAACGGUGGGUACUAGGUGUGGGUUCUUUCCUAAGGAUCCGUGCCGUAGCUAACGCAUUAAGUACCCCGCCUGGGGAGUACGGCCGCAAGGCUA
rnacentral:rRNA from 1 species